GCCGGGAUGGCGGAAUUUGGUAGACGCGCAUGAUUCAGGGUCAUGUGCCCGCAAGGGCGUGUGGGUUCGAGUCCCACUCCCGGCA
rfam:Marinithermus hydrothermalis DSM 14884, complete genome.